GAUGAACGCUGGCGGCGUGCCUAAUACAUGCAAGUCGAGCGAACAGAUGAGGAGCUUGCUCCUCUGACGUUAGCGGCGGACGGGUGAGUAACACGUGGAUAACCUACCUAUAAGACUGGGAUAACUUCGGGAAACCGGAGCUAAUACCGGAUAAUAUAUUGAACCGCAUGGUUCAAUAGUGAAAGACGGUUUUGCUGUCACUUAUAGAUGGAUCCGCGCCGCAUUAGCUAGUUGGUAAGGUAACGGCUUACCAAGGCGACGAUGCGUAGCCGACCUGAGAGGGUGAUCGGCCACACUGGAACUGAGACACGGUCCAGACUCCUACGGGAGGCAGCAGUAGGGAAUCUUCCGCAAUGGGCGAAAGCCUGACGGAGCAACGCCGCGUGAGUGAUGAAGGUCUGCGGAUCGUAAAACUCUGUUAUUAGGGAAGAACAAAUGUGUAAGUAACUAUGCACGUCUUGACGGUACCUAAGCAGAAAGCCACGGCUAACUACGU
rnacentral:rRNA from 1 species